GACAGAGGGUGCAAACGUUGUUCGGAAUUACUGGGCGUAAAGCGAGUGUAGGCGGUUCGGUAAGUCGGAUGUGAAAGCCCCGGGCUCAACCCGGGAAGUGCACUAGAUACUGCCGAGCUAGAGUAUCGGAGAGGUUGGUGGAAUUCUCGGUGUAGAGGUGAAAUUCGUAGAUAUCGAGAGGAACACCGGUGGCGAAGGCGGCCAACUGGACGAAUACUGACGCUGAGACUCGAAAGCGUGGGGAGCAAACAGG
rnacentral:rRNA from 1 species